GGAAUGUGCGCUGGAAGUUAUGUGAGCCUAAGCCUUAAAAUGUGUUAGGGUUUGAAGAUCCUGACUCCCUUUCUGGGGGCAACUCCUGUAAACAGAUUUAGUCUAGCACUCGAGUGCUGAAAUUGAUUUGCCCCCUUCCUGUCACUUAGAGGGUUAGCAAUACAGGUGGUGAAGAAGAAAGAUGACACCCCUAAAACCCGAGUCCCCUCUGGGCCCCAUGCUUUACCUGUAGAACUUUGGUGGAGCCUUGUGCAGCCGAACCACAAUCCAAGAGGAGGUGUUCACACCAUCUGUCGCUAGCACAGACAUCUCGAAAGGGGAAAUGCCCCAAACGUGGAAGUAUCCAACACCAAGACUGGUUGGAGCACUGGAUGAAUGGCGUGGGUGCCGCCCUUUCACUGUGCACUGUCCUAAGAAGCCUCUUUUCCUUUGAAGAGCCUAGUGCUGAGUGCCCAAUUCAAUCAGACCACGUUGAGAGCGGUCCAAGGAUUAAAAGAUGCUACCUUU